rnacentral:rRNA from 1 species
GUUCGAUUCUGGCUCAGAUUGAACGCUGGCGGGAUGCUACACAUGGAAGUCCGGAACGGCAGCACGGACUUCGGUCUGGUGGCGAGUGGCGAACGGGUGAGUAAUGUAUCGGAACGUGCCUAAUGGCAGGGAUAACUACGCCGAAGGCAGCGUAGCUAACUGCAUACGCCCUUCAGGGGAAAGCGGGAAAGCCUUCGGGCCUCGCACUAUUGCGACAGCCGAUAUCGGAUUAGCUAGUUGGUGGGGUAACGGCUCACCGGGCGACGUCCGUGGCUGGUUGAGGACGACCAACCUGGGACUGGGAACUGACCCGAACUCUACGGGAAGGCAGCAGUGGGGAAUUUUGGACAAUGGGGAAACCCUGAUCCAGCCAUCCCGCGUGUGCGAUAGAGGCCUUCGGGUUGUAAAGCACUUUUGGCAGGAAAACAGCACGGGAUAAUACCCCGAGCGCAACUGACGACACCUGCAGAGUCAAACUCAGCCGCUACAUUGCCAGCAAGCGCGACGUAUGGGGUGCAAGCGCGUUAAUCCGGAAUUACUGGGCGUAAGCGUGCCAGGCGGUUCGGAAAAGAAAGAUGUGAAAUCCAGAGCUUAACUUUGGAACUGCAUUUUUAACUACCGAGCUGGUGUAUCAGAGGGAGGUGGAAUUCCGUGUAGCAGUGAAAUGCGUAGAUAUGCGGAGGGACACCGAUGGCGAAGGCAGCCUCUGGGUGCUGCUGACGCUCCAUGCGAAACAUUGAGAGCAAACAGGAUUAGAUACCCUGGUAGUCCACGCCUAAACGAUGUCAACUAGCUGUUGGGGCCUUCGGGCCUUGGUAGCGAAAACGCGCGUGAAGUUGACCGCCUGGGAAUACGGUCGCAAGAUUAAAACUCAAAGAAAUUGACGAGGUUCCCGCACAAGCGGUGGAUGAUGUGGAUUAAUUCGAUGCAUCGCCGAAAAACUGCACUACCCUUGACAUGUGUCUGGAAUCCCGAAGAGAUUUGGAGGUGCUCUUAAAGAACAGAACACAGGUACUGCAUGGCCAUCCAUCAGCUCAGCAUCGUGGAUAUUGGGUUAAGUCCCGCAACGACGCAACCCUUGUCAUUAGUUGCUACGAAAGGGCACUCUAAUGAGACUGCCGGUGAUGAAACCGGAGGAAGGUGGGGAUGACGUCAAGUCCUCAUGGCCCUUAUGGGUAGGGCUUCACACGUCAUACAAUGGUCGGGACAGAGGGUCGCCAACCCGCGAGAGCCAAUCCCAGAAACCCGAUCGUAGUCCGGAUCGCAGUCUGCAACUCGACUGCGUGAAGUCAGAAUCAUAGUAAUCGCGGAUCAGCCUUCGGUGAACCGUUCCCAGGUCCUUGUACACACCGCCCGUCACACGGAAUUGGUUUUGCAAGUGAAUUAGCCCUAACCGUAAGGAGGGCGUUACACGGUAGGAUUCAUAUUCGGGGUGAAGUCGUAACAAGGUAGCUCCUGAUACCACAAUUGCUCCCAAGACAAUACAUGCUUU